UACGUAGGGGGCAAGCGUUGUCCGGAUUUAUUGGGCGUAAAGAGCGUGUAGGCGGCUUUACAGGUCCGUUGUGAGAACUCGAGGCUCAACCUCGAGACGCCGGUGGAAACCGUAAAGCUAGAGUCCGGAAGAGGAGAGUGGAAUUCCUGGUGUAGCGGUGAAAUGCGCAGAUAUCAGGAAGAACACCCGUGGCGAAGGCGGUUCUCUGGGACGGUACUGACGCUGAGACGCGAAAGCGUGGGGAGCGAACAGG
rnacentral:rRNA from 1 species